rnacentral:rRNA from 1 species
UACGAAGGGGGCUAGCGUUGUUCGGAAUUACUGGGCGUAAAGCGCACGUAGGCGGAUUUGUAAGUCAGGGGUGAAAUCCCGGGGCUCAACCUCGGAACUGCCUUUGAUACUGCUGAUCUUGAGUACGGAAGAGGUGAGUGGAAUUCCUAGUGUAGAGGUGAAAUUCGUAGAUAUUAGGAAGAACACCAGUGGCGAAGGCGGCUCACUGGCCCGGUACUGACGCUGAGGUGCGAAAGCGUGGGGAGCAAACAGG